rnacentral:rRNA from 1 species
CCUACGGGGGGCAGCAGUGGGGAAUAUUGCACAAUGGGGGAAACCCUGAUGCAGCGACGCCGCGUGAGUGAAGAAGUAAUUCGUUAUGUAAAGCUCUAUCAGCAGGGAAGACAAUGACGGUACCUGAGUAAGAAGCCACGGCUAACUACGUGCCAGCAGCCGCGGUAAGACGGAGGGGGCAAGCGUUAUCCGGAUUUACUGGGUGUAAAGGGAGCGUAGACGGCAGUGCAAGUCUGUAGUGAAAGGCGGGGGCUCAACCCCCGUACUGCUCUGGAAACUGUACGGCUGGAGUGCAGGAGAGGUAAGUGGAAGUCCUAGUGUAGCGGUGAAAUGCGUAGAUAUUAGGAGGAACACCAGUGGCGAAGGCGGCUUACUAGACUGUAACUGACGUUGAGGCUCGAAAGCGUGGGGAUCAAACAGGAUUAGAUACCCCGGUAGUC